UACGAAGGGGGCGAGCGUUGUUCGGAAUUACUGGGCGUAAAGGGCGCGUAGGCGGCGACUCAAGUUAGAUGUGAAAGUCCUGGGCUUAACCUGGGGACUGCAUUUGAUACUGGGUUGCUUGAAUUCGGGAGAGGAUAGCGGAAUUCCCAGUGUAGAGGUGAAAUUCGUAGAUAUUCGCAAGAACACCAGUGGCGAAGGCGGCUCACUGGCCCGGUACUGACGCUGAGGUGCGAAAGCGUGGGGAGCAAACAGG
rnacentral:rRNA from 1 species